rnacentral:rRNA from 1 species
AGCGUUGUUCGGAAUUACUGGGCGUAAAGCGCACGUAGGCGGUUAUUCAAGUCAGAGGUGAAAGCCCGGAGCUCAACUCCGGAAUAGCCUUUAAGACUGCAUCGCUUGAAUCCAGGAGAGGUGAGUGGAAUUCCGAGUGUAG